rnacentral:rRNA from 1 species
CAGUAGCCGCGGUAAUACAGAGGGUGCAAGCGUUAAUCGGAAUUACUGGGCGUAAAGCGCGCGUAGGUGGUUUGUUAAGUUGGAUGUGAAAUCCCCGGGCUCAACCUGGGAACUGCAUCCAAAACUGGCAAGCUAGAGUAUGGUAGAGGGUGGUGGAAUUUCCUGUGUAGCGGUGAAAUGCGUAGAUAUAGGAAGGAACACCAGUGGCGAAGGCGACCACCUGGACUGAUACUGACACUGAGGUGCGAAAGCGUGGGGAGCAAACAGGAUUAGAUACCACUGUAGUCCCUGUCUCUUAUAC